rnacentral:lncRNA from 1 species
GAAUUGCUGAAGUUGUGAAGGUUGAUGCUGUGAAUGCGCUCGGUCAUCCCCUUGCAACUGAUGUCACCUGCAGCAUGUCAACGCAGACACAAAACAGGGCAUGGGUCAGAUCUAGCUGGUUGCAUUCCUAACACCUAGGUUUCAGAGUAAAAAUACAGAGUCAGCUUGUGAUGGCAUUCCCUCAAAACAUGGAAGGAAUUGCAGUAAUGAAAGUCAUCAUGUAUUCUAAGAGACUGUUCUGCGAGAGCACAACACAGACGGGGCUAAAGCAGGGAUUGUCUAAGCCCAGUGUGGAGGAACCAUCAAGGAUUUCAGCACGUUUUUUUAGCCAUUGUACAGUUUGUGAAAAUUAAGUUUUACUCUGUGAAUAAAGAAUUGGAUAGAUAAUUCCAGACAACAUUCUGAAAGACACUUACGCCGUCAUUCCAAAGUUGAAAUGAAAUGAGGGGGAGAAGACUUGCUGGGACUAAGGAAAAAAGUCAAUGAAAUCUGAGUGAGAAGCAAAAGUGCUCAGGAGUUAAGAGAAGCAGACGUCCGAAAUUAUCUCCAUGCAUUACCAAAAACCGUGGGCACCACGGCACGGGGAAAACUUACCAGGUACAAUGAGCCAGUGACUGUUACUGAAUUUCUUAAGAUUACACUUUUCCCAACUACUGCAGACUGCUUCAGAAUAGAAGAAGACAACUCUCAUGCCAUCAAGCCGACGGACUUUCAAAAAAAUAAAAGAUGCAUUUCUUUACUUGGCCCAUGAGAAGUAAAAGCAGGCACUGGCAUUCUGCACAGAUGAAAUACUUCCUACGACAGGAAUACAUGCUCACUUGUGGACUUCUCUGUAAUCUGUAGGCAACAUCAGCUCCUGAUUUCUAGGUCUGGAUCUGGGUUCUCUGUAGCACAGGAAGGUCUCUACUUCUCCUACAUAAAUGCCUUGCAUGGCGGGAACUAAAUCAACUACACAGACCCAUACAUCCAGAGAGCAGAGGUGAGCUGGAUACAAGUGGCUUAGAGAUGUGGUGGAAGGAGGCCAGAGCUCCAAGGGAAGGGCAGCAAGGAGACAACAGCAUGGGUUGCAGCUCAGACAACAGGUAAAUAAAACCAAGCAAAGCUGCUGGUCACAGAUUUGACCAGGGUGGCAAGAAAUGACAAGCUACCAUGAGAUUCAACAGUGGCACGGAAGGAUGAUGAGAAGCAAACAGAUUAGGAGAAGCUGCCACCACCGUACAUAGAGGCACAGAUGACCAAGCAGAACAGCACCAGUCCCUGCAAGGUGUGCUCAGAUACAGCUCAGCACAGCCAUCUGGCCAGGAGGGAAUGAUAAUGCACAUGGUGUGCACUGCAGCCGGGAAGUUGAGAACCGCUGUGGGCACCUCAGGACUGAGUCUGGUUACCCUGCUGAUCCAAGAAAUGAAGCCAUCUAAAAUUUUGCCUGCUUUCACAAUUUUCUGUGUGUGUGUGUGUGUAUUAAACAAAGUGAACUAAGAAGC